rfam:Burkholderia peredens type strain LMG 29314 genome assembly, contig: contig000002
CGAAAAACCGGCGUGAGAAACGCCGGCCAUGACAACCAACAGCCACGAGUCGCCGGGCAGGAACGGCGCAGGCGACGCAUGUGCGUCCAAAAAGCCUGAGGCAGAGGUAAAAAGUUUCAAAACCUGCAAAGGAUGCCAACGGAUUCUAACAGGGUUAAAUGAUCCGUCAAUGCUAUAGACAAUCGUUUCAAUUACUUACAGUUA